UACCACACAGUGCUUGAUGUCAUGGAAGUAGUUACUGGAUACACAUCUAUUUCAUUUGAUGUGUUUUUGGUUUUUUUUUUUAUUCAGUCAGCUGGGGGAUCAAUGAAGGAAGCUGAGGAUAUUGGUGAGAAGCUGGUCACUGCAAUCUCAGUAUAAUGGCAAAGGAAUCUACAGAGGAGCAAAAGAUUUUCAUUGUCCUUGUACAGUAUGGUGUUAGGGCAGAGUGUAGGAGAGCCUUUCUUGGAUUAUGGUAUCCAGCUGUAGGCACUGCACUUCAUGGAAAAUGUGGAGCAACUGGAGAUAACCCAGCAAUGAGAGGGAUGACAGGAUGGAAGACCAGGCUUGUUUCAAGGAGUACUUCAGCACUCCCAAAUUCCUGACUGAAAACCUGCAAAAUACAUUCCUGUCGCAUGAAGUGACAACGUGUGGGAUUACUGUAUACAACUUACUGAUAAUUCUUCCUUGUGUGCACAAGUGCACUGCAGUGAUACUGCAAUUGGAGCUACCGAUCUUUUAUCCAAUUAUUACAGAAUUAUGGUGGCAGCAAUCUUAAACCUUUAUCUGAACUUUUGCCAGAGGUGAUCUCUUCAUUUAAAAUGAGUUCUCUGCUUAUUUCUGUUUGUUGUCAAACAACA
ensembl:lncRNA